GUGGCUCCCACCCCCUGUAACAGCAACUCCAUGUGGAAGUGCCCACUCGUUCCAGUGGGGCUGCUGUUAUCUGGGGUGGGGGCCCG
rnacentral:pre_miRNA from 2 species